GGGAGAGACAGAGCAGGAAGGAACCCCCAUCGUACCAUACGUUCUGGAACUCCGGGACCGCAUGGAGAAACUGUCCCUAAUGGUAAGGGAGAAUCUCCAGGCGGCCCAGGGGUGACAGAAGAUGUGGUACGAUCGGGGAGCCCAACAGCGGGUCUUCCAGGUUGGGCAAAAGGUUUUAGUGCUCAAACCUGUGAAGACGAACAAGAUGCAAGCAUCUUGGCAGGACCCGUAUAAAGUGUUAGCUCAGGUGUUUGAUACUACCUACCUUAUAGUCAGCUGUGCAGAUGAAAGGAUUCAGCGAUCCUUUCAUGUGAAUAUGCUGAAGGAGUAUCAGGAGAGACCAGAAGAUGUCACUGCAGUGUAUGCCUGGCUGCCGACGACCCUGAGAAUUUACCUCUGCCUGACUUAUUAGAGAAGUACCCCCAGACUGACCUCACUAGUCUUGUACAGCUAGGGGAUCGGCUGAG